GUGUCAGCCGCCGCGGUAAUACGGAGGAUCCGAGCGUUAUCCGGAUUUAUUGGGUUUAAAGGGUGCGUAGGUGGUUUGAUAAGUCAGCGGUGAAAGUUUGCAGCUUAACUGUAAAAAUGCCGUUGAAACCGUCGGACUUGAGUGUAAAUGAGGUAGGCGGAAUGCGUGGUGUAGCGGUGAAAUGCAUAGAUAUCACGCAAAACUCCGAUUGCGAAGGCAGCUUACUAAGCUACAACUGACACUGAAGCACGAAAGCGUGGGGAUCAAACAGGAUUAGAUACCCUGGUAGUCCACGCAGUAAACGAUGAUUACUAGCUGUUUGCGAUACACAGUAAGCGGCACAGCGAAAGCGUUAAGUAAUCCACCUGGGGAGUACGCCGGCAACGGUGAAACUCAAAGGAAUUGACGGGGGCCCGCACAAGCGGAGGAACAUGUGGUUUAAUUCGAUGAUACGCGAGGAACCUUACCCGGGUUUGAACGUAGGGAGACAGGAGUGGAAACAUUCUAUUCAGCAAUGACUGCCUACGAGGUGCUGCAUGGUUGUCGUCAGCUCGUGCCGUGAGGUGUCGGCUUAAGUGCCAUAACGAGCGCAACCCUUAUUUCCAGUUACUAACAGGUGAUGCUGAGGACUCUGGAGAGACUGCCAGCGUAAGCUGUGAGGAAGGUGGGGAUGACGUCAAAUCAGCACGGCCCUUACAUCCGGGGCGACACACGUGUUACAAUGGUAAGGACAAAGGGCAGCUACCGGGCGACCGGAUGCGAAUCUCUAAACCUUAUCUCAGUUCGGAUCGGAGUCUGCAACUCGACUCCGUGAAGCUGGAUUCGCUAGUAAUCGCGCAUCAGCCAUGGCGCGGUGAAUACGUUCCCGGGCCUUGUACACACCGCCCGUCAAGCCAUGGGAGCCGGGGGUACCUGAAGUUCGUAACCGCAAGGAUCGACCUAGGGUAAAACUGGUGACUGGGGCUAAGUCGUAACAAGGUAGCC
rnacentral:rRNA from 1 species